GCUGAGGUAACGUUGGCCAAGGUUUCGUUAUCGUUGUCUCCCAUGAAGGGGGAAAGGCCACUGACUCUGGAGAGACAAGAGCAGGACAGCAGGUGUGGCUAGGAGAGGGCGCGACCACCAGAUGAGGGAAUUGAGGCACAGCCCAGGCUCAAGUAACCUGCCCAAAGAUUCGCAGCCAGUGAGAUUGGAAGCCAGGUAUCUGCCUCUAGAGCCUGUCCUCUUAAAUGCUAUACUAUCCUAACAUUUCUGUGAAGAUGAAGUAAAUUGCAGUGUUCAGCACUGGCACCAGGCCUGGUCCACAGUAAGGAGGCAGUCCAUGCCUGGAGAUCUCAUGCAGUUCUGCUGGGUUCCCUCCACUGCCUUACCAAGCUCUGAGUGCAGGAAUGACUUUGUGACCAGCAGCUUAAGCCAAAUAAACUUUAUAAGGUAAAGAAUUUCAAAACAAAA